rnacentral:misc_RNA from 1 species
GAAGCCAACGAUCCGACCCGCAUUAACCGCCUGACCACCGGCGUGUUUGAAAUGGGAUCGACAUUCAAAUCGCUGACCCUCGCCAUGGCGCUCGAUUCCGGCCGCGCCACCAUCAACACGCUCUACGAUGCGCGCGCGCCGCUGACCUACGGCAAGUUCAAGAUCCACGAUACCCACAAUCUUGGACGCUCCGUUCCGAUGUGGGAGGUGUUCACCGAAUCCUCCAACGUCGGCGCGGCGCGUGUCGCGCUGUCGAUGGGCGUCGAGGCGCACAAGGCGUUCCUGCGCAAGCUCGG